AGACACCCUACUACUACGGUGACAAGACCUAUUAUGGCGACAAGACACCCUACUACUACGACAAGACUCCCUACUACGGUGACAAGACUUACUAUGGCGACAAGACCGAUUUGACAUACAAGCAGGGACACAGAAACAGUGGACCCUUGAGACAGCAAGACGACGAAGCUGAUUACAAACGUUAAAUGAUCACCGCACUUCGACUACCGUUCUUCAGACCGUAUGACCAUGUGAUGUCAAAUAUUCUUGCUAAUAAAUAGCAGUAUUUCAAAAUA